rnacentral:rRNA from 1 species
CAGUCGAGCGGAAACGAGUUAACUGACCCUUCGGGUGACGUUAACGGCGUCGAGCGGCGGACGGGUGAGUAAUGCCUGGGAAUAUGCCUUGAUGUGGGGGAUAACCAUUGGAAACGAUGGCUAAUACCGCAUAAUCUCUACGGAGCAAAGAGGGGGACCUUCGGGCCUCUCGCGUCAAGAUUAGCCCAGGUGGGAUUAGCUAGUUGGUGAGGUAAAGGCUCACCAAGGCGACGAUCCCUAGCUGGUCUGAGAGGAUGAUCAGCCACACUGGAACUGAGACACGGUCCAGACUCCUACGGGAGGCAGCAGUGGGGAAUAUUGCACAAUGGGCGCAAGCCUGAUGCAGCCAUGCCGCGUGUGUGAAGAAGGCCUUCGGGUUGUAAAGCACUUUCAGUCGUGAGGAAGGUGGUGUAGUUAAUAGCUGCAUUAUUUGACGUUAGCGACAGAAGAAGCACCGGCUAACUCCGUGCCAGCAGCCGCGGUAAUACGGAGGGUGCGAGCGUUAAUCGGAAUUACUGGGCGUAAAGCGCAUGCAGGUGGUUAGUUAAGUCAGAUGUGAAAGCCCGGGGCUCAACCUCGGAACUGCAUUUGAAACUGGCUGACUAGAGUACUGUAGAGGGGGGUAGAAUUUCAGGUGUAGCGGUGAAAUGCGUAGAGAUCUGAAGGAAUACCGGUGGCGAAGGCGGCCCCCUGGACAGAUACUGACACUCAGAUGCGAAAGCGUGGGGAGCAAACAGGAUUAGAUACCCUGGUAGUCCACGCCGUAAACGAUGUCUACUUGGAGGUUGUGGCCUUGAGCCGUGGCUUUCGGAGCUAACGCGUUAAGUAGACCGCCUGGGGAGUACGGUCGCAAGAUUAAAACUCAAAUGAAUUGACGGGGGCCCGCACAAGCGGUGGAGCAUGUGGUUAAUUCGAUGCAACGCGAAGAACCUUACCUACUCUUGACAUCCAGAGAACUUAGCAGAGAUGCUUUGGUGCCUUCGGG